UACGUAGGGUGCGAGCGUUGUCCGGAAUUACUGGGCGUAAAGAGCUCGUAGGUGGUUUGUCGCGUUGUCCGUGAAAACUCACAACUCAAUUGUGGGCGUGCGGGCGAUACGGGCAGACUGGAGUACUGCAGGGGAGAAUGGAAUUCCUGGUGUAGCGGUGGAAUGCGCAGAUAUCAGGAGGAACACCAAUGGCGAAGGCAGUUCUCUGGGCCGUAACUGACGCUGAGGAGCGAAAGCGUGGGGAGCAAACAGG
rnacentral:rRNA from 1 species